CCUUCCUCUAACUGGAGAAUAGCCCGAAGAAAUUCGGAUUAAUACUCCAUAAAGUCAAUUUAAGGCAUCUUUUAUUGAUUAAAGCUCCGGCGGUUAGAGAUGGGCAUGCGUGUCAUUAGCUAGUUGGUGAGGUAACGGCUCACCAAGGCCACGAUGACUAGGGGGUCUGAGAGGAUGAUCCCCCACACUGGUAACUGAGACACGGACCAGACUCCUACGGGAGGCAGCAGUGAGGAAUAUUGGGCAAUGGACGCAAGUCUGACCCAGCCAUGCCGCGUGCAGGAUGACUGCCCUAUGGGUUGUAAACUGCUUUUGUUUGGGAAGAAACCCCCGAUCGUGAUCGGGGCUGACGGUACCAUACGAAUAAAGCAUCGGCUAACUCCGUGCCAGCAGCCGCGGUAAUACGGAGGAUGCAAGCGUUAUCCGGAUUCAUUGGGUUUACAGGGUGCGCAGGCGGAAUAUUAAGUCAGUGGUGAAAUCCUGCAGCUUAACUGUAGAACUGCCAUUGAUACUGAUAUUCUUGAAUAUAGUUGAGGUGGGCGGAAUGUGUAAUGUAGCGGUGAAAUGCUUAGAUAUUACACAGAACACCAAUUGCGAAGGCAGCUCACUAAACUAAUAUUGACGCUGAGGCACGAAAGCGUGGGUAGCAAACGGGAUUAGAUACCCUGGUAGUCCACGCUGUAAACUAUGAUCACUCGCUGUUGGCAAUACAUCGUCAGCGGCUGAGCGAAAGCAUUAAGUGAUCCACCUGGGGAGUACGGUCGCAAGAUUGAAACUCAAAGGAAUUGACGGGGGCCCGCACAAGCGGAGGAACAUGUGGUUUAAUUCGAUGAUACGCGAGGAACCUUACCUGGGCUUAAAUGCAGAGCGACGUCCGCCGAAAGGUGGAUUCCUUCGGGCGAUCUGCAAGGUGCUGCAUGGUUGUCGUCAGCUCGUGCCGUGAGGUGUCGGGUUAAGUCCCAUAACGAGCGCAACCCUUAUCGUUAGUUGCCAGCGGGUAAUGCCGGGGACUCUAACGAAACUGCCGGUGUAAACCGUGAGGAAGGUGGGGAUGACGUCAAAUCAGCACGGCCCUUAUGUCCAGGGCUACACACGUGUUACAAUGGUCGGUACAGAGGGCAGCUACCACGCAAGUGGAUGCUAAUCUCGAAAACCGGUCUCAGUUCGGAUUGAAGUCUGCAACUCGACUUCAUGAAGCUGGAUUCGCUAGUAAUCGCGCAUCAGCCAUGGCGCGGUGAAUACGUUCCCGGGCCUUGUACACACCGCCCGUCAAGCCAUGGAAGCUUGGGUACCUGAAGU
rnacentral:rRNA from 1 species